rnacentral:rRNA from 1 species
UACAGAGGUCUCAAGCGUUGUUCGGAUUCAUUGGGCGUAAAGGGUGCGUAGGCGGUGCUGUAAGUCGGGUGUGAAAUUUCGGAGCUUAACUCCGAAACUGCAUUCGAUACUGCGGUGCUUGAGGACUGGAGAGGAGACUGGAAUUCAUGGUGUAGCAGUGAAAUGCGUAGAGAUCAUGAGGAAGACCAAUGGCGAAGGCGGGUCUCUGGACAGUUCCUGACACUGAGGCACGAAAGCCAGGGGAGCAAACCGG